ACCCCAACCACAUGUCCACUUGUGCAAUGUGCGUGCCGGUGAGGUGGACAUAUGGGGCUGUGGAACUGCCUGUCUCCACGUGAGUGUACAUUUAUUUGGAGUCUGCGUGAGGUUCGGAACCUGGGAAGGAUGCGUGGCAGAGAAUACAGCCAUUCAUGACAGGUAACUCAUCUGGUGGCCAGCCAUGCCAGUGAGAUUGAAGUACUGUUUCCUAAGCCAACGGGCAACCGGAGGCAGGAUCACCCAAAUUCAGAAGAUAUUACGAAUACGUGGCAGAUUUAGUACAAGGGUCGGAGGGAGUAGGUGGGUUGACGAAGUAUGCUCGUGUAUCUCUAAAGAAUUUAAAUACAAAAAUUUCAUCUACGGAUAGAGAAACAGAAAAAACAAACAAAUUAAACUAUGUGUUAAAAAAAUAUUUUAGUA
rnacentral:lncRNA from 1 species